UACAGAGGGGGCGAGCGUUGUUCGGAAUUACUGGGCGUAAAGGGCGCGUAGGCGGUCCGCUAAGUCGAACGUGAAAUCCCCAGGCUCAACCUGGGAACUGCGUCCGAUACUGGCAGGCUUGAAUCCGGGAGAGGGAUGUGGAAUUCCAGGUGUAGCGGUGAAAUGCGUAGAUAUCUGGAGGAACACCGGUGGCGAAGGCGGCAUCCUGGACCGGUAUUGACGCUGAGGCGCGAAAGCUAGGGGAGCAAACGGG
rnacentral:rRNA from 1 species